rnacentral:rRNA from 1 species
UACGAGGGGGGCAAGCGUUGUUCGGAAUUAUUGGGCGUAAAGGGUGCGUAGGCGGCGCGGUAAGUCGGGUGUGAAAUCUCGGAGCUUAACUCCGAAACUGCAUUCGAUACUGCCGUGCUUGAGGACUGGAGAGGAGACUGGAAUUUACGGUGUAGCGGUGAAAUGCGUAGAUAUCGUAAGGAAGACCAGUGGCGAAGGCGGGUCUCUGGACAGUUCCUGACGCUGAGGCACGAAGGCCAGGGGAGCAAACGGG